rnacentral:lncRNA from 1 species
CUUCCUCUCUUUUUUGCUUCCCCCCUCCUCUUCUCCCUCUCGCCGUGCCACCGUGGGGUGAGCCUCCUCUGGGAGAUGCUCCCACCUCGGAGCGGCAGAAGGGAAGGUCCUGGACCUCCUCCGAAGUGGUGCCGGAGGAGUCGAACGGGGUCCCCGAGGUGGGGCCGAGCCCCUGGGAGCUCCCCUGGGUAGGCUGACGCUUCCUCGGCCUGCAACCGCUCCGGCGACUGCGGCCGAGGGGUGCCUUUUGUUAGAUGUAUGCCCUAGAAGCCAAUCUGGCUGACACAUUAUUAAUUCUAGGGACAUAAUUUUGUACUUGACUAUUUAUUAUUGAAUAAAUAAAAGGCAUCUUUUCAUUCAUAUUAUUUAUGUGUCUAUGAAUCGUCCAAGAAAUUAAUAAAAUGAUGAUGCAUAUUCUCAAGAGUUGAG